ACCUCGGAUCAGGUAGGAAGACCCGCUGAACUUAAGCAUAUCAAUAAGCGGAGGAAAAGAAACCAACAGGGAUUGCCCUAGUAACGGCGAGUGAAGCGGCAACAGCUCAAAUUUGAAAUCUGGCUUCGGCCCGAGUUGUAAUUUGCAGAGGAAGCUUUAGGCGCGGCACCUUCUGAGUCCCCUGGAACGGGGCGCCAUAGAGGGUGAGAGCCCCGUAUAGUUGGAUGCCUAGCCUGUGUAAAGCUCCUUCGACGAGUCGAGUAGUUUGGGAAUGCUGCUCAAAAUGGGAGGUAAAUUUCUUCUAAAGCUAAAUACCGGCCAGAGACCGAUAGCGCACAAGUAGAGUGAUCGAAAGAUGAAAAGCACUUUGAAAAGAGGGUUAAACAGCACGUGAAAUUGUUGAAAGGGAAGCGCUUGUGACCAGACUUGCGCCAGGCUGAUCAUCCGGUGUUCUCACCGGUGCACUCGGCCCGGCACAGGCCAGCAUCGGUUCUCGCGGGGGGAUAAAGGUCUCGGGAACGUAGCUCNUCCGGGAGUGUUAUAGCCCGGGGCGUAAUGCCCUCGCGGGGACCGAG
rnacentral:rRNA from 1 species